rnacentral:tRNA from 1 species
CGCGGAGUGGAGCAAUGGUAGCUCGCGUGUCUCAUAAGCACGAAUGUACAGGUUCGAGUCCUGUCUCCGCUA